rnacentral:rRNA from 1 species
AUUGAACGCUGGCGGCAGGCCUAACACAUGCAAGUCGAACGAGUGGCGGACGGGUGAGUAAUGUCUGGGAAACUUCCUGAUGGAGGGGGUUAACUACUGGAAACGGUAGCUAAUACCGCAUACCAUCAGAUGUGCCCAGUUUGGAUUGGCUAGUUGGUGGGGUAACGGCUCACCAAGGCGACGAUCCCUAACUGGUCUGAGAGGAUGACCAGCCACACUGGAACUGAGACACGGUCCAGACUCCUACGGGAGGCAGCAGUGGGGAAUAUUGCACAAUGGGCGAAAGCCUGAUGCAGCCAUGCCGCGUGUAUGAAGAAGGCCUUCGGGUUGUAAAGUACUUUAAGCGGGGAGGCGUUACCAGCAGAAGAAGCACCGGCUAACUCCGUGCCAGCAGCCGCGGUAAUUC